rnacentral:rRNA from 1 species
UACGCAGGGGGCUAGCGUUGCUCGGAAUCACUGGGCGUAAAGCGCACGUAGGCGGCUUUUUAAGUCAGGGGUGAAAUCCUGGAGCUCAACUCCAGAACUGCCUUUGAUACUGAGAAGCUCGAGUCCGGGAGAGGUGAGUGGAACUGCGAGUGUAGAGGUGAAAUUCGUAGAUAUUCGCAAGAACACCAGUGGCGAAGGCGGCUCACUGGCCCGGUACUGACGCUGAGGUGCGAAAGCGUGGGGAGCAAACAGG